ensembl:lncRNA
AUUGAGUUCAUCAUAGCAUUUGGAGAAUAGAGCAAGGGAUGAAAUGCCUGUUCCUGCUCCAGCAGCCCCUAGUCCAAGCAAGACAGCCACAAUUGGUGCAGAGAAUAACAUUUUGGUGCCCGGACGUGGAAAGGCUCUGCCCUUAUACCUUCUGCGACCUGCUGGCGGGCACAUGUUAGGCUAAGUGUAACCUUACAAUCCACUUCCAUCUCCGCUUUACCUGGCACUCCCUCCUGCCUGCAACAGCCUGAGAUGCCGGAACUCAACUUGCGGCUUUUCCAACUAAGUAUUUCUGGAACUCACUGAUCUGCCUAUUCGCUACAAUCCGGUCUAAGAGGCGCCAGGGAGUUGCAUACAGCCUGGACUACAAUGAAACAACCAGCUUCCCCAGGACGUGGCAGCACCCCAACCUUCUCGGGUCCCCCAAAGAUGGUCAACGCCCCCACGUCAGCAGGAAGCAGUCUUAAGAAUUCGACGCCCUUAUUCCUUAACCUGCCAUGUCUAAACAC